UUAAUCACAAAUAUCUAUCUCUACUACUUAAAAGGAGCAUAAGGUUUCCUUUUCGAUCAUUCUUUCAUCCAACCACCUACGUAAGUUCUUCCCCUCCCUCCUCCCCGUUUUGUUUUUCCUCCUCCCAUAGUAGUUUUCCCCCCACUUGGUUUCCCUGAAAUCAAACAACCGCAACUGCCCCAUGUUUUAUUGAUCUACCAAAUAAAGAAAAUAUUUUCUUUGGUAAGCUAGUAAAUAUUUACAAAAUAAUACCCAUUUAUUGUAUACAAUGUUAGAAUCAUGACGAUUGCGUAUGAAAAUAGUCUAAAAUUUUAACCAAUGGAAGUAUAAAUGAUGGACAUGCAGUCACAGGGAACCUGCUAGUAUACUUAUGCCCUUGUUGAAACGCACUAGGAAUUAUAUAGUUUGAUAAAAACCUAAGAACUCUUUAUUCAUUAGUUUAGAAGUUAGGUUUGUGGCUUUGGCACGAGAGGAGGAGCGCUAGGGGGGGUGCAGAAUGUUAAAGAAGAGGCCACACGAGUUUAAUUAAGAUUGAAAUAUGGGAGAUUUAUUUAGGGACUAAAAAUACACAAGACUAAAGCUGUGCAUAUUGAUAUGCUAAUAAUCAUCAUGAAAAGUAGUAUAUUAUAUAUUAGAACAUUGCUGCAAAGAACAAGGUAUACACUACUUUUGUUUUCAGCAAAGAAAUAUUUCAGUUUGGUGGCAUGACGAAGGAGGUGGGCGUUGUUUCUGCUUGUUGGGGAACGUAGCAGAAAUUCAAAAUUUUCCUACGAGUCACCAAGAUCUAUCUAUGGAGAGACUAGCAACGAGAGAGAGGAGUGCAUCCACAUACCCUUGUAGAUCGCGAGCGGAAGCGUUCAAGAGAACGGGGUUGAGGGAGUCGUACUCGUCGUGAUCCAAAUCACCGAAGAUCCUAGUGCCGAACGGACGACACCUCCGCAUUUAACACACGUGCAGCCCGGUGUCGUCUCCCGUGCCUUGAUCCAGCAAGGAGAGAGGGAGAGGUUGGGGAAGACUCCGUCCAGCAGCAGCACGACGGCGUGGUGGUGGUGGAGGAGCGCAGUACUCCAGCAGGGCUUCGCCAAGCACUAGAGAGACGAGGAGGAAGAGAGGUAGGGCUGCGCCUUGGGAGAGAGAGAUUCGUGUGUUGGGCAGCCCCCAAACCUCCACUAUAUAUAGGGGGAAGGGAGAGGAGGAGGCGCCCUAGGGUUUCCCCUAGGGAGGGGGGCGGCGGCCAGGGCAGAUGGGAUCUCCCCUUUGGGUGACUUCGCCCCCAAGCCAGGAGGUGGGAACCCUAGAUGGGGCGCCCCAAACCCCCUGGUCACAUGGGAAUAGGUGAGGGGGGUGCACAACCCCUUAGUGGGCUGGUUUGCCCCCUCCCCUUGGCCCAUGAAGCCCCCCAACACUUGCCGGGGCUCCCGAAACACCUUUCGGUCAUGCUGGUCAUCACCCGGUACCUCCGGAACACUUUCGGACUCCAAAACCCUUCUUCCAAUAUAUGUAUCUUCACCUCCAGACCAUUCCGGGACUCCUCGUGACGUCCGGGAUCUUAUCUGAGACUCCAAACAACAUUCGGUAACCGCGUACAUACCUUCCCUAUAACCCUAGCAUCAUCGAACCUUAAGUGUGUAGACCCUACGGGUUCGGGAACCAUGCAGACAUGACCGAGACAUCUCUCUGGUCAAUAACCAACAGCGGGAUCUGGAUACCCAUGUUGGCUCCCACAUGUUCCACGAUGAUCUCAUCGGAUGAACCACGAUGUCAAGGAUUCAAUCAAUCCCGUAUACAAUUCCCCUUGUCUACCGGUAUAGUACUUGCCCGAGAUUCGAUCGUCGGUAUCCCGAUACCUUGUUCAAUCUCGUUACCGGCAAGUCUCUUUACUCGUUCUGUAACACAUCAUCCCGCGAUCAACUCCUUGAUCACAUUGUUCACAUUAUGAUGAUGUCCUACUGAGUGGGCCCAGAGAUACCUCUCCGUCACACAGAGUGAAAAAUCCCAGUCUCGAUUCGUGCCAACCCAACAGACACUUUCGGAGAUACCCGUAGUGCAGCUUUAUAGCCACCCAGUUACGUUGUGACGUUUGGUACACCCAAAGGAUUCCUACGGUAUCCGGGAGUUGCACAAUCUCAUGGUCUAAGGAAAAGAUACUUGGCAUUUAGAAAAGCUUUAGCAUACGAACUACACGAUCUUGUGCUAGGCUUAGGAUUGGGUCUUGUCCAUCACAUCAUUUUCCUAAUGAUGUGAUCCCGUUAUCAAUGACAUCCAAUGUCCAUGGUCAGAAAACCAUGACCAUCUGUUAAUCAACGAGCUAGUCAACUAGAGGCUCACUAGGGACAUGUUGUCGUCUAUGUAUUCACACAUGUAUUGCGGUUUCCGGUCAAUACAAUUAUAGCAUGAAUAAUAGACAAUUAUCAUGAACAAGGAAAUACAAUAAUAACCAUUUUAUUAUUGCCUCUAGGGCAUAUUUCCAACAGUCUCCCACUUGCACUAGAGUCAAUAAUCUUGUUUACAUCACUAUGUGAUUGUAAUGAAUCGACACCCAUGGGGUUUGAUCAUAUCUCGCUUGUGAGAGAGGUUAUUAGUCAACAGAUCUGAACCUUUCAGAUCCGUGUGUGCUUUGCAAAUCUCUAUGUCAUCUCCUAGAUACAGCUACCACGCUCUAUUUGGAGCUAUUCCAAAUAACUGUUCUACUAUACGAAUCCGGUUUACUACUCCGAAUAAUCCGGAUUAGUGUCAAAGUUUGCAUCGGUGUUACCCUUUACGACGAACUCUUUUACCACCUCCAUAAUCGAGAAAAUUCCUUAGUCCACUAGUUACUAAUGAUAAGUUUGACCACUGUCUUGUGAUCCAUUCCUGGAUCACUCUUGUACCCCUUGACUGACUCAUGGCAAGGCACACUUCCGGUGCGGUACACAGUAUAGCAUACUAUAGAGCCUACGUCUGAAGCAUAGGGGACGACCUUCGUCCUUUCUCUUUCUUCUGCCAUGGUCAUGUCUUGAGUCUUACUCAAUACUCACACCAUAUAACACAACCAAGAACUCCUUCUUUGCUGAUCUAUUUUGAACUCCUUCAAAAUCUUAUCAUGGUAUGUAUUCAUUUGAAAGUACUAUUAAGCGUUUUGAUCUAUCCUUAUAGAUCUUGAUGCUCAAUAUUCAAGUAGCUUAAUCCAGGUUUUCCAUUGAAAAACACUUUUCAAAUAACCCUAUAUGCCUUCCAGAAAUUCUACAUCAUUUCCGAUCAACAAUAUGUCAACAACAUAUACUCAUCAGAAAUGCUAUAGUGCUCCCACUCACUUCUUUGGAAAUACAAGUUUCUCAUAAACUUUGUAAACCCAAAAAGUUUGAUCACCUCAUCAAAGCGUAUAUUCCUUCUCCGAGAUGCUUACUCCAGUCCUUAGAAGGAUUACUGGAGCUUUGCAUACUUGUUAGCAUCUUUCAGGAUUGACAAAACCUUCUGGUUGUAUCACAUACAACCUUUCCUCAAGAAAAUUGUCGAGGAAACAAUGUUUUUUACAUCCUAUCCGAAAGAUUUCAUAAAUAAUGCAGUAACUGCUAAUACAAUUCCAACAGACUCUUAGCAUCGCUAUGAGUGAGAAAGUCUCAUCAUAGUCUACUCCUUGAACUUGUCGGAAAACAUCUUAACGACAAGACGAGAUUUCUUAAUGGUGACACUUACCAUCAUUGUCCGUCUUCCUUUUAAAAUCCAUCUGUACUCAACAACCUUACGACCAUUGAGUAGUUCUGCCAAAGUCUACACUUUGUUUUCAUACAUGGAUCCUCUCUCGCAUUUUAUGGCCUCGAGCCAUUCGUCGGAAUCCGGGCCCACCAUCGCUUCUUCAUAGCUCAUAGGUUCAUUGUUGUCUAGCAACAUGACCUCCAAGACAGGAUUACGUACCACUCUGAAGUAGUAUGUAUCCUUGUCAACCUACGAGUUUUGGUAGUGACUUGAUCCGAAGUUUCAUGAUCACUAUCAUCAACUUCCACUUCAAUUGGUGUAGGUGCUACAGGAAAAACUUCCUGUGCCCUGCUCCACACUGGUUGAAGUGAUGGUUCAAUAACUUUAUCAAGUCUCCACCAUCCUCCCACUAAAUUCUUUCGAGAGAAACUUUUCCUUGAGAAAGGACCCGUUUAAGAAACAAUCUCUUCUGCUUCCAGAUCUGAAAUAGGAGGUAUACCCAAUUGUUUUGGGUGACCUAUGAAGAUGUAUUUAUCUGCUUUGGGUUCGAGCUUAUCAGGAUGAAACUUUUCCACAUAAGCAUCGCAGCCCCAAACUUUCAAGAAACGACAGCUUAGGUUUCUCUAAACCAUAGUUCAUACGGUGUCAUCACAAGGGAAUUACGUGGUGCUGUAUUUAAAGUGAAUGCGUUUGCCUCUAAUGCCUAACCCGUGAACGAUAGCCGUAAUUCGAUAAGAGACAUCAUGGUAUGCCCCAUAUCCAAUAGGGUGCAUCUAUGAUGUUCGGACACACCAUCACACUAUGAUGUUCCAUGCGGUGUUAGUUGUGAAACAAUUUCCACAAUGUCUCAAUUGUGUACCAAACUCGCAACUCAGAUAUCCAUCUCUAUGAUCAUAUCACAGACAUUUUAUCAUCUGGUCACGAAGAUCUUCAACUUCACUCUGAAAUUACUUGAACCUUUCAAUAAUUCAGACUUGUGUUUCAUCAAGUAAAUAUACUCAACAUCUACUCAAAUCAUAUGUGAAGUAAGAACAUAACGAUAUCCACUGCAUGCCUCAGCACUCAUUGGACUGCAUACAUCAAAAUGUGUUAUUUCCAACAAGUUGCUUUCUUGUUCCAUCUUACUGAAAACGAGGCUUUUCAGUCAUCUUGCCCAUGUGGUAUGAUUUGCAUGUCUCAAGUGAUUCAAAAUCAAGUGAGUCCAAACGAUCCAUCUGCAUGGAGUUUCUUCAUGCAUAUACACCAAUAGACAUGGUUCGCAUGUCUCAAACUUUUCAAAAAACGAGUGAGUCCAAAGAUCCAUCAACAUGGAGCUUCUUCAUGCGUUUUAUACCAGUAUGACUCAAAAGGCAGUGCCACAAGUAGGUGGUACUAUCAUUACUAUCUUUUAUCUUUUGGCAUGAACAUGUGUAUCACUACGAUCGAGAUUCAAUAAACCAUUCUUUUAGGUGCAAGACAUUGAAGGUAUUAUUCAAAUAAAUAGAGUAACCAUUAUUCUUCUUAAAUGAAUAACCGUAUUGCGAUAGACAUAAUCCAAUCAUUUCUAUGCUCAACGCUAACACCAAAUAUCAAUUAUUUAGGUUUAACACCGAUCCCGAUGGUAGACGGAGCAGGCGAUGCUUGAUCACAUCAACCUUGGAAACACUUCCAACACACAUUGUCAUCUCACUUUUAGCUAGUCUCCGUUUAUUCCGUAACUCUUUUAUUUCGAGUUACUAACACUUAGCAACCGAACCGGUAUCUAUUACCAUGGUGCUACUAGGAGUACUAGUAAAGUACACAUUUAAUACUAUGUAUAUCCAAUAUACUUCUGUCAACCUUGCCAGCCUUCUCAUCUACCAAGUCUCUAGGGUAGUUCUGCUUCAGUGAUCGUUCCCUCAUUACAGAAGCACUUAGCCUCGGGUUUGGGUUCAACCCUAGGUUUCUUCACUAGAGUAACAACUGAUUUGCCAUUUCAUAAAGUAUUCCUUCUUGCUCUUGCCCUUCUUGAAACUAGUGGUUUCACUAACCAUCAAUAAUUGAUGCUCCUUCUUGAUUUCUACUUUCACGGCAUCAAAUAUCGCGAAUAUUUCAAGGAUCAUCAUAUCUAUCCCUGAUAUGUUAUAGUUCAUCACGAAGCUCUAGUAGCUUGGUGGCAAUGACUUUGGAGAAACAUCACUAUCUCAUCUAGAAGAUUAACUCCCACUCGAUUCAAGUGAUUGUUGUACCCAGAUAAUCUGAGUACAAGCUCAACGAUUGAGCUUUUAUCUCUUAGUUUGUAGGCUAAGAAACUCGUCAGAGGUCUUAUACCUCUUGACGUGGGUACGAGCCUGAAAUCCCAAUUUUAGCCCUUGGAACAUCUCAUAUGUUCCGCAACAUUUCUAAAACGUCUUUAGCGCCUCAAUUUUAAACCGUUUAACAUUACUGAACUAUCACGUAGUUAUCAAAACGUGUAUGUCAGAUGUUUGCAACAUCGACAGACAACGUUCGAGGUUCAGCACACGGAGCGGUGCAUUAAGGACAUAAGCGCAAUGAGGACAAUCCUCAGUUUACGGACCCAGUCCACAUAAUUGCUACUAUCAACUUUCAACUAAAUUUUCUCUAGGAACAUAUCUAAAAUAGUAGAACUAAAACGCGAGUUACAACAUAAUUUGCAAAGAAAUUUUGACUAUGUUCAGGAUAAUUAAGUUCAUCUAAUGAACUCCCACUCAUAUAGACAUCCCUCUAGUCAUCUUAAGUGAUACAUGAUCCGAGUCAACUAGGCCGUGUCCGAUCAUCACGUGAGACAGACUAGUCAUCAUCGGUGAACAUCUUCAUGUUGGUCGUAUCCACUAUACGACUCAUGUUCGACCUUUCGGUCUCUUGUGUUCCGAGGCCAUGUUUGUACAUGCUAGACUCGUCAAGUUAACCUAAGUGUUUCGCCUGUGUAAAUCUGGCUUACACCCAUUGUAUGCGAACGUUAGAAUCUAUCACACCCGAUCAUCAUGUGGUGCUUCGAAACAACGAAAUUUCGCAAUGGUGCAUAGUUAGGGGGAACACUUUCUUGAAAUUAUUAUGAGGGAUCAUCUUAUUUACUACCGUCGUUCUAAGCAAAUAAGAUGCAUAAACAUGAUAGACAUCACAUGCAGUCAAAAAGUGACAUGAUAUGGCCAAUAUCAUUUUGCUCCUUCUGAUCUCCAUCUUCGGGGCUCCAUGAUCAUCAUCAUUACCGGCAUGACACCAUGAUCUCCAUCAUCGUGUCUCCAUGAAGUUGUCUCGCCAACUAUUACUUCUACUACUAUGGCUAACGGUUUAGCAAUGAAGUAAAGUAAUUACAUGGCGUUAUUCAGUGACACGCAAGUCAUACAAUAAAUAAAGACAACUCCUAUGGCUCCUGCCGGUUGUCAUACUCAUCGACAUGCAAGUCGUGAUUCCUAUUACAAGAACAUGAUCAAUCUCAUACAUCACAUAUCAUUCUACACAUUCUUUUGGCCAUAUCACAUCACAUAGCAUACCCUGCAAAAACAAGUUAGACGUCCUCUAAUUGUUGUUUGCAUGUUUUACGUGGCUGCUAUGUGUUUCUAGCAAGAACGUUUCUUACCUACGCAAAAGCCACAACGUGAUAUGCCAAUUGCUAUUUACCCUUCAUAAGGACCCUUUUCAUCGAAUCCGAUCCAACUAAAGUGGGAGAGACUGGCACCCGCUAGCCACCUUAUGCAACAAGUGCAUGUCAGUCGGUGGAACCUGUCUCACGUAAGUGUACGUGUAAGGUCGGUCCGGGCCACUUCAUCCCACAAUACCGUCGAAACAAGAUAGGACUAGUAACAGUAAGAAUAUUGAACAAAAUCAACACCCACGACAACUUGUGUUCUACUCGUGCAUAGAAUCUACACAAUAGACCUAGCUCAUGAUGCCACUGUUGGGGAACGUAGCAGAAAUUCAAAAUUUUCCUACGAGUCACCAAGAUCUAUCUAUGGAGAGACUAGCAACGAGAGAGAGGAGUGCAUCUACAUACCCUUGAAGAUCACGAGCGAAAGCGUUCAAGAGAACGGGGUUGAGGGAGUCGUACUUGUCGUGAUCCAAAUCACCGAAGAUCCUAGUGCCGAACGGACGACACCUCCGCGUUCAACACACGUGCAGCCCAGUGACGUCUCCCGUGCCUUGAUCCAGCAAGGAGAGAGGGAGAGGUUGGGGAAGACUCCGUCCAGCAGCAGCACGACGGCGUGGUGGUGGUGGAGGAGCGCGGUACUCCAGCAGGGCUUUGCCAAGCACUACGAGAGACAAGGAGGGAGAGAGGUAGGGCUGCGCCUUGGGAGAGAGAGACUCGUGUGUUGGGCAGCCCCAAAACCUCCACUAUAUAUAGGGGGAAGGGAGAGGGGGAGGCGCCCUAGUGUUUCCCCUAGGGGGGCGGCGGCCAGGGCAGAUGGGAUCUCCCCUUUGGGUGACUUGGCCCCCAAGCCAGGAGGUGGGAACCCUAGAUGGGGCGCCCCAAACCACCUGGUCACGUGGGAAUAGGUGAGGGGGGCGCACAACCCCUUAGUGGGCUGGUUUCACUAGUGCAGAACCGGGCUUUAGUGCCGGUUCAUGACGGCCUUUAGUGCCGGUUGGCGAACCGGCACUAAAGAGUGGGGACUAAAGCCCCCCCGCUUUAGUACCGGUUCGUCAUGAACCGGUGCUAAAGUGCAAACACGUGGCACGAGCCAGGCCCGUGUGCGUGUAGAACAUUAGUACCGGUUGGUAACACCAACCGGCACUAAAUGUUUGGGUGUUUUUUUUAAUUUUUGCUUUAAUUUUGUGUUUUCAAUUGGCUUUAUUUUCCAUUUAAUUCUUUUUUGUUUGCUGGUAUUUCACGAUACUACAAACUGUACACGUUAUGCAUAUAUCAUCGAAUGUCUCACAGCCAACACCAUUAACUAUUCACACAUACACAUGUAUAUACAUAUACAAUUUAUCCUACAUGUUGCCUUGGUGCCUUCGGAGCACGAUGACAAGUGGUUCAUGGGGGCGGUAGCGGGUAAUAGUAUUCUCCUUUCGGAUCUAUGACCUAGUCGAGCAAAAAUCCGGCUCUUUCGUCUUGAAGUGCUUGUAUGCGGUCUGAUGGUAGGAGCUUAUCCCGCACCGAUCUGAACUGUUAAGAAGGAGAUCAAUAUGCAUGUGUGUUAGUUGUGUGACUAGAUAUCGAUAAUGGUGUGAAUAGUGUUCUGACAAAAACGUACCCUGUCCUGUCUAUCAGAUCUGCUCCUUUCGCACGUCAUCAUGCGAAUGUUCUCGCAAACGUAGUACGCACAUAGAUUAUUCCCUUUCGCCUGCCUCAGGGCCUUUACGAGAAUGGAAUUGAAUCAGAUAAUGAUUAAUCAAGCAUAAUAAUUAAUUAAUGAUAUUGAAACAAGAAUUAAAGAGAUGGUAGCUAGCUAGUACUACUUAAUUACUAACCUUGGGUCGAUGCCAAAACAACUUUUUUGGCCACGUGCCUGGAGUCACCUUGAUGAACUUUGCCCAUGCCCUGCCUGCCGGCAAAGAAAAUUAAUAAAGGGGUUAUUAAAUAGUUCAUAUCAGGAACUAAUAGUUAAUAAUGAUUGAAAUUACCUGUUGACUAUCCCCUUCACGAUGGUGUAGUCUUUAUCUUCUUUAGUUAGUGAGUCCAGUAAUUCAACUUUUCCUUCCUCAACUUUAAUGUCUAACAAGACCCAGUGCCAACUGCAUACGCACACGUUUGCAUGUCUUAAUUAAGCGGGCAUGUGCAUAAAAUUAAUCAACUACCGUCAACCGUAUACACUUAAUUAUUAACAUCAAGCUAGCUAAUAAGCAAAAACAGAAUUUGUAGUACAAGACAGUGUGACUCACGGGAAGUUGUAAGGAAGUAGUAUAUCUUCAUUGGUAUUGAGGCGCUUCAAGAACUCUAGCAUGCUUUCCUCUACAGCAGCUUGACAAUGUUCAAUCUCCCAUAUGUCCUGAUUAAUGGUAUUUGGGUCAAUGAACCCAACGCCAUAGCGUCCUGCUUUUUUAAUUUCAUACAUCUUCAUCCUGCAUAUAAUACCAUAGAAAAAGAAUAUAGUGAGGAUAAUUACAUGUAAUGAUUUAUCAAAAUUAUCACUACAUAACUAGCUUGAGACUUCAAUUACAGAAGGAAAUCACUUACAGACAAUAGCAACUGACGAUAGACUUGUCGAGUGCGUCUUGAUUAAAUAACUGAAAUAGUUCUGGAUACUCAAUGGUCAAAGCUUUCUCAUGGUAAUAAUGCUCAUGCUUGACAUUCACCAUGAGGGACUCUCAAUUGGAAAUCUUGGUAAUGUUCAUGUACCAUUGAUGCAAUUGAUACAUUCUCGUUGGGAGGUCCUUGACCUUGUCUGGAUGGACCAAAGGUUUGCCCCAGACAUAUUGCCAUGCUAUUUCCGAUUCUUUAAGCGUAGGCAUGGGCUCGAUUUCGAGGAGUUGUCCAACAGAGAUAUUGAGCAUUUGAGCCUACAUUAUAUGAUCCUCUGUUAUUACCACAUCGCCAUGCUGGGGAACGCUAACGGUUUGCCCACAAUAAUAUUUGGCGCGCGUACUACUCCUCUCAUGUGUUGUUGCCCCCCCCUUGGCCCAUGAAGCCCCCCUAACACUUGCCGGGGCUCCCGAAACACCUUUCGGUCAUGCUGGUCAUCACCCGGUACCUCUGGAACACUUCCGGACUCCAAAACCCUUCGUCCAAUAUAUCAAUCUUCACCUCCGGACCAUUCCGGGACUCCUCGUGACGUCCGGGAUCUCAUCCGGGACUCCGAACAACAUUCGAUAACCGCAUACAUACCUUCCGUAUAACCCUAGCGUCAUCGAACCUUAAGUGUGUAGACCCUACGGGUUCGGGAACCAUGCAGACAUGACCGAGACAUCUCUCUGGUCAAUAACCAGCAGCGGGAUCUGGAUACCCAUGUUGGCUCCCACAUGUUCUAGGAUGAUCUCAUUGGAUGAACCAUGAUAUCAAGUAUUCAAUCAAUCCCAUAUACAAUUCCCUUUGUCUACCGAUAUAGUACUUGCCCGAGAUUCGAUCGUCGGUAUCCCGAUACCUGGUUCAAUCUCGUUACCGGCAAGUCUCUUUACUCGUUCUGUAACACAUCAUCCCGCGAUCAACUCCUUGAUCACAUUGUGCACAUUGUGAUGAUGUCCUACCGAGUGGGCCCAGAGAUACCUCUCCGUCACACGGAGUGAAAAAUCCCAGUCUCGAUUCGUGCCAACCCAACAGACACUUUCGGAGAUACCCGUAGUGCACCUUUAUAGCCACCCAGUUACGUUGUGACGUUUGGUUCACCCAAAGCAUUCCUACGGUAUCCGGGAGUUGCACAAUGUCAUGGUCUUAGGAAAAUAUACUUGACAUUUAGAAAAGCUUUAGCAUAGGAACUACACGAUCUUGUGCUAUGCUUAGGAUUGGGUCUUGUCCAUCACAUCAUUCUCCUAAGGAUGUGAUCCCGUUAUCAAUGACAUCCAAUGUCCUUGGUCAGGAAACCAUGACCAUCUGUUGAUCAACGAGCUAGUCAACUAGAGGCUCACUGGGGACAUGUUGUGGUCUAUGUAUUCACACAUGUAUUGCAGUUUCCGGUCAAUACAAUGAUAGCAUAAAUAAUAGACAAUUAUCAUGAACAAGGAAAUACAAUAAUAACCAUUUUAUUAUUGCCUCUAGGGCAUCUUUCCAACACUGCUAGUGUUGGUGAAGAAUGUUUGCGGCAAGCCUCAUCACAGUGUUCAGGUGUAUCAUAACAAAGGUUUUUUAUGGGGCUGAUACCAACUAAACGACACCAACAAUUGUGCGUGCAUUUUCCAAAUUGUUUAGAUGGUGCACACAAUCCAUACGGUAGAUUGAUCUUUCUGUUACCUAUCUCUUCGAUGCUCCCACCCAGAGAAUAAAAAACAAUUAGAGCAAUAUAUAUUAUGCAUGCAAGUAUAUAGAACUAUUCUUGAAAUGUUUAUUUAAUCAACUAACAAGCAAUAUAUCCUAUAUCCUAUAUACCUAAAUAGUUCAUCCUCACUAUCUCUAUUAUCUUGGCAUGCACACAUGCCACCUCAUCAAAGGCCCACCACAACAUGCAUGAACUUUUUUUCCAUUAUUACUGAUCUCAUGCAUACAUCCCACAUCACCACAAAUGCCACCUCAUCAAAGGUCCACUCAACAUGCAUGGGAAAAGGUUUUUCAUUAUAUUACUUUUUGAAAAUUUACUAUAGGGCAACAUCCCUACAAUCUUUUAUUUUGUUUUUUCUCAGGCAUGUUUAAAUCCCCUCCCACUGGGAGCCAAAUCCAAUAUCUGGGUGCUAUUAAGAUCUUUGCAACCAUUAGGCUACAUGCCCGUUCGCUAUGCCACUUAUAUUCAAAAUACUUUUUGACCACACAAUAAUAAAUUACAAUGUAUAUAAUAUGUAUUUUUAGUUUUAGUUCAUAUAUUAUUAAUUAUACUAUUCGUCUUUCAUACAAACAAACACUAAAAAUAUAGUAGUCCAUUCCCGCAGCAACGCGUUGGGUAUUCUCUAGUAUAUGAAACAACAUACCACCAAACGACCUUUUUUAUAACCAUAUACACUUUAUUCCACAAAAAACUAUAUACACUUUUUAACACAUAUUCGAAAAUAUUAGACAAAACUCACGGUAGCCAAAAAAAAAAGAUAAAAAUCAGGAAAUAUUUUUUUAUAUUAUGCUAAUUACAUUGCGCAUGAACAACAAAGCACACGACGAGAAGUAGCGAAAGUGGCACUAGCAGGUGCACACGUUCUGUGUACUUCGCCAUGCACACAGACUUUGAAUUACUUUGAACAAUCGGUGAUUUUGGAG
rnacentral:lncRNA from 1 species